rnacentral:rRNA from 1 species
GACGAACGCUGGCGGCGUGCUUAACACAUGCAAGUCGAACGGAAAGGCCCUGCUUUUGUGGGGUGCUCGAGUGGCGAACGGGUGAGUAACACGUGAGUAACCUGCCCUUGACUUUGGGAUAACUUCAGGAAACUGGGGCUAAUACCGGAUAGGAGCUCCUGCUGCAUGGUGGGGGUUGGAAAGUUUCGGCGGUUGGGGAUGGACUCGCGGCUUAUCAGCUUGUUGGUGGGGUAGUGGCUUACCAAGGCUUUGACGGGUAGCCGGCCUGAGAGGGUGACCGGCCACAUUGGGACUGAGAUACGGCCCAGACUCCUACGGGAGGCAGCAGUGGGGAAUAUUGCACAAUGGGCGGAAGCCUGAUGCAGCAACGCCGCGUGCGGGAUGACGGCCUUCGGGUUGUAAACCGCUUUCGCCUGUGACGAAGCGUGAGUGACGGUAAUGGGUAAAGAAGCACCGGCUAACUACGUGCCAGCAGCCGCGGUGAUACGUAGGGUGCGAGCGUUGUCCGGAUUUAUUGGGCGUAAAGGGCUCGUAGGUGGUUGAUCGCGUCGGAAGUGUAAUCUUGGGGCUUAACCCUGAGCGUGCUUUCGAUACGGGUUGACUUGAGGAAGGUAGGGGAGAAUGGAAUUCCUGGUGGAGCGGUGGAAUGCGCAGAUAUCAGGAGGAACACCAGUGGCGAAGGCGGUUCUCUGGGCCUUUCCUGACGCUGAGGAGCGAAAGCGUGGGGAGCGAACAGGCUUAGAUACCCUGGUAGUCCACGCUGUAAACGGUGGGUACUAGGUGUGGGGUCCAUUCCACGGGUUCCGUGCCGUAGCUAACGCUUUAAGUACCCCGCCUGGGGAGUACGGCCGCAAGGCUAAAACUCAAAGGAAUUGACGGGGCCCCGCACAAGCGGCGGAGCAUGCGGAUUAAUUCGAUGCAACGCGUAGAACCUUACCUGGGUUUGACAUGGAUCGGGAGUGCUCAGAGAUGGGUGUGCCUCUUUUGGGGUCGGUUCACAGGUGGUGCAUGGCUGUCGUCAGCUCGUGUCGUGAGAUGUUGGGUUAAGUCCCGCAACGAGCGCAACCCUUGUUCACUGUUGCCAGCACGUUAUGGUGGGGACUCAGUGGAGACCGCCGUGGUCAACUCGGAGGAAGGUGGGGAUGACGUCAAGUCAUCAUGCCCCUUAUGUCCAGGGCUUCACGCAUGCUACAAUGGCUGGUACAGAGAGUGGCGAGCCUGUGAGGGUGAGCGAAUCUCGGAAAGCCGGUCUCAGUUCGGAUUGGGGUCUGCAACUCGACCUCAUGAAGUCGGAGUCGCUAGUAAUCGCAGAUCAGCAACGCUGCGGUGAAUACGUUCCCGGG